rnacentral:rRNA from 1 species
GAAUCAACGCUGGCGGCAUGCCUAACACAUGCAAGUCGAACGGGAAAGUGGGAGCAAUCCCAUGAGUAUAGUGGCGCACGGGUGAGUAACACGGUUGGUACCUGCCCUCUAGUGGGGAAUAACUGGCCGAAAGGUCGGCUAAUACCGCAUGUGGUCUACGGAUCAAAGCAGCAAUGCGCUAGAGGAGGGCCUGCGUCUGAUUAGCUAGUUGGUAGUGAAUGGACUACCAAGGCGACGAUCAGUAGCUGGUUCGAGAGGAUGACCAGCCACACUGGGACUGAGAUACGGCCCAGACUCCUACGGGAGCAGC